UACGUAGGGGGGCAAGCGUUGUCCGGAUUUACUGGGCGUAAAGCGCGUGUAGGCGGUUGGGUAAGUCUGCUGUGAAAGCUCCUCGCUUAACGGGGAGAGGUCGGUGGAAACUGCUCAACUUGAGGACGGUAGAGGGGGGUGGAAUUCCCGGUGUAGUGGUGAAAUGCGUAGAGAUCGGGAGGAACACCAGCGGCGAAGGCGGCCCCCUGGGCCCGCUCCUGACGCUGAGACGCGAAGGCCAGGGUAGCGAACGGG
rnacentral:rRNA from 1 species